rnacentral:rRNA from 1 species
AUUGAACGCUGGCGGCAUGCUUUACACAUGCAAGUCGAACGGACUUAGGGGCUUGCUCCUGAGUUAGUGGCGAACGGGUGAGUAAUGCAUCGGAACGUACCGUGUAGUGGGGGAUAACGUAGCGAAAGUUACGCUAAUACCGCAUACGCCCUGAGGGGGAAAGCGGGGGAUCGUAAGACCUCGCGUUAUACGAGCGGCCGAUGUCGGAUUAGCUAGUUGGUGGGGUAAAGGCCCACCAAGGCGACGAUCCGUAGCGGGUCUGAGAGGAUGAUCCGCCACACUGGGACUGAGACACGGCCCAGACUCCUACGGGAGGCAGCAGUGGGGAAUUUUGGACAAUGGGGGCAACCCUGAUCCAGCCAUGCCGCGUGCGGGAAGAAGG